GCAUAUCAAUAAGCGGAGGUAAAAGAAACCAACAGGGAUUGCCCUAGUAACGGCGAGUGAAGCGGCAACAGCUCAAAUUUGAAAUCUGGCUCUUUUAGAGUCCGAGUUGUAAUUUGCAGAGGGCGCUUUGGCUUUGGCAGCGGUCCAAGUUCCUUGGAACAGGACGUCACAGAGGGUGAGAAUCCCGUACGUGGUCGCUGGCUAUUGCCGUGUAAAGCCCCUUCGACGAGUCGAGUUGUUUGGGAAUGCAGCUCUAAAUGGGAGGUACAUUUCUUCUAAAGCUAAAUAUUGGCCAGAGACCGAUAGCGCACAAGUAGAGUGAUCGAAAGAUGAAAAGCACUUUGGAAAGAGAGUCAAACAGCACGUGAAAUUGUUGAAAGGGAAGCGCUUGCAGCCAGACUUGCUUGCAGUUGCUCAUCCGGGCUUUUGCCCGGUGCACUCUUCUGCAGGCAGGCCAGCAUCAGUUUGGGCGGUAGGAUAAAGGUCUCUGUCACGUACCUCUCUUCGGGGAGGCCUUAUAGGGGAGACGACAUACUACCAGCCUGGACUGAGGUCCGCGCAUCUGCUAGGAUGCUGGCGUAAUGGCUGUAAGCGGCCCGUCUUGAAACACGGACCAAGGAGUCUAACAUCUAUGCGAGUGUUUGGGUGUCAAGCCCGAGCGCGUAAUGAAAGUGAACGGAGGUAGGAACCCGCAAGGGUGCACUAUCGACCGAUCCUGAUGUCUUCGGAAGGAUUUGAGUAAGAGCAUGGCUGUUGGGACCCGAAAGAUGGUGAACUAUGCUUGAAUAGGGUGAAGCCAGAGGAAACUCUGGUGGAGGCUCGCAGCGGUUCUGACGUGCAAAUCGAUCGUCAAAUUUGGGCAUAGGGGCGAAAGACUAAUCGAACUAUCUAGUAGCUGGUUCCUGCG
rnacentral:rRNA from 1 species